CCUACGGGUGGCAGCAGUGAGGAAUAUUGGUCAAUGGACGCAAGUCUGAACCAGCCAUGCCGCGUGCAGGAAGACGGCUCUAUGAGUUGUAAACUGCUUUUGUACGAGGGUAAACGCAGAUACGCGUAUCUGUCUGAAAGUAUCGUAAGAAUAAGGAUCGGCUAACUCCGUGCCAGCAGCCGCGGUAAUACGGAGGAUUCAAGCGUUAUCCGGAUUUAUUGGGUUUAAAGGGUGCGUAGGCGGUCGGGUAAGUUAGAGGUGAAAUCCCGAGGCUCAACUUCGGAAUGGCCUCUGAUACUGUUGGGGUAGGGAGUAGUUGCGGUAGGCGGAAUGGAGGGUGUAGCGGUGAAAGGCUUAGAGAUCAUACAGAACACCGAUUGCGAAGGCAGCUUACCAAGCUACUUCUGACGUUGGGGCACGAAAGCGUGGGGAGCAAACAGGAUUAGAUACCGAGUAGUC
rnacentral:rRNA from 1 species